rnacentral:rRNA from 1 species
AGAAUCAACGCUGGCGGCGUGCCUAACACAUGCAAGUCGCACGAGAAAGGGUAGCAAUACCUGAGUACAGUGGCGCACGGGUGAGUAACACGUGAAUAAUCUACCUCCGAGUGGGGAAUAACUGAGAGAAAUCUUAGCUAAUACCGCAUAAUACCCACGGGUCAAAGCAGCAAUGCGCUUGGAGAGGAGUUCGCGGCAGAUUAGUUAGUUGGCGGGGUAAUGGCCCACCAAGACGAUGAUCUGUAUCCGGCCUGAGAGGGCGCACGGACACACUGGAACUGAAACACGGUCCAGACUCCUACGGGAGGCAGCAGUGGGGGAAUUUUGCGCAAUGGGGGAAACCCUGACGCAGCAACGCCGCGUGGAGGAUGAAGCCCCUUGGGGUGUAAACUCCUUUCGAUCGGGAAGAUAAUGACGGUACCGAUAUAAGAAGCCCGGCUAACUUCGUGCCAGCAGCCGC